UUUAUGUUCUUUUUCUCAGAAUGUUGAAAGAGAUAAAGUAACUAAAGUCACGUUACAAUGUGUUAAAGAAGCACAGUAGCAGAAACGCUCAAAUAACACCCUUUUUUGAAGACGUCAAAAUGACACCAGUUAUUACCACUACUGUAUGGUUACAUAAAUACAUUUGAAAACGACUCUUGUGUUUCAGCCGAAAUAUAAAUAAACUGUGUCCAUUUAGAAUAACAUUA